UACGUAGGGGGCAAGCGUUGUCCGGAAUCAUUUGGGCGUAAAGAGCGUGUAGGCGGCCCGGUAAGUCCGCUGUAAAAGUCAAAGGGCUCAACCUUUGAAUGUCAGUGGAUACUGCCGGGCUAGAGUCCGGAAGAGGCGAGUGGAACUCCUGGAUGUAGCGGUGGAAUGCGCAGAUAUCAGGAAGAACACCAACGGCGAAGGCAGCUCGCUGGGACGGUACUGACGCUGAGACGCGAAAGCGUGGGGAGCGAACAGG
rnacentral:rRNA from 1 species